UACGAAAAGAGCUCUAAGGUGCAUAAAAUGGAUCGAUUGAAACGAUUAUUCUCGUUAUCGUUGUCAUCUAAUCUCUUUCAAUUUUAUUACUGGAACUUUAUUGAGCACGCAUCAUGAUUUUAUACAAGAAUCGCAACUUACGUUUAGGAUUAUCACGUAGCUCACGUAGAAUAUAAAAAGAAGUGUAGAAGUAGAAAUAGAAGUAGAAAUAGAAGAAGAAGAAGAAUGUAGUAGUAGAGGAAGAAGAAGAAGAAGAAAAAGAAGAAUGCAGUAGUAGUAGUAGUUGUUGUAGUAGUUGUAGUAGAAGAAGAAGAAGAAUGUGAUGAUGACACUUUCACAGAAGGAACAAAGAGGAGGAUGAACGAGAGCCGACUCUGCCACAUGCGUCCGGUUUGAUAUAGAAGAAGAAAAAAAAGGUGGAAGAAGAAGAAGAAGAAGAAGUAGAAGAAGAAGAAGAAAGUGAAAAAUUCAAUAUGUCUCAAUUUAACUCCUCUUUCUUGAAAUAUAUCUAUUUAUCGCA